GACGAACGCUGGCGGCGUGCUUAACACAUGCAAGUCGAACGGAAAGGCCCUUCGGGGUACUCGAGUGGCGAACGGGUGAGUAACACGUGGGUGAUCUGCCCUGCACUUUGGGAUAAGCCUGGGAAACUGGGUCUAAUACCGAAUAGGACCGCGCUCUUCAUGGGGUGUGGUGGAAAGCUUUUGCGGUGUGGGAUGGGCCCGCGGCCUAUCAGCUUGUUGGUGGGGUAAUGGCCUACCAAGGCGACGACGGGUAGCCGGCCUGAGAGGGUGACCGGCCACACUGGGACUGAGAUACGGCCCAGACUCCUACGGGAGGCAGCUGUGGGGAAUAUUGCACAAUGGGCGGAAGCCUGAUGCAGCGACGCCGCGUGAGGGAUGACGGCCUUCGGGUUGUAAACCUCUUUCAAUAGGGACGAAGCGCAAGUGACGGUACCUAUAGAAGAAGGACCGGCCAACUACGUGCCAGCCGCCGCGGUAAUAC
rnacentral:rRNA from 1 species